UUUGCGACGGAUUUGCGUGGAA
rnacentral:siRNA from 1 species